rnacentral:misc_RNA from 1 species
UGCCAGGAAAGAUGUUUGCA